rnacentral:other from 1 species
AGCUCUCUGCAAAGUUAGUGUUAGCACCUAUUUUUUGAACCAACGUCAUUUGAAUGGGAGGCUAGAGUGCAUCCUAAUACCAGCUUUCCGUCAGAGUCACGGAUUAACGACUGGAUUGGAGCCAGGCCACCCACCUGUUUAGGCAGGUUCAAAUGCAGAUGCUUCACGGCCACGCGGAGAGCUU